rnacentral:tRNA from 1 species
GGGUUGUUAGCUCAGUCGGUAGAGCAGCGGACUUUUAAUCCGUUGGUCGAGCGUUCGAAUCGCUCACGACCCACCA